GCCUCAGCCUGUAGAUUGCCAAGCUCACGGCUCUGCCUGGGACACCACAAAGUGCUUGCCUUCAGCUCUCCCACCAUCAUGCCUGCAGGAUGGCCCACAGGAGCCCCAUCCCAGCUGGAACUGGCAGUUACCCCUAUGGGGAUAAUGUUUACUAAGUAUCGAGUGAUAUCAACAAGUGACCAGACUGGUCACAGGAGCGACGCUGUGGAAGGGCCUCAUGGCCUGCGCUGAUGGUGAAACCCAGCCUGCUGUUGGCGCGGCCCUACUAGGUUGACUGCCAGACACCAAGUCCAGGUGGCCGAGGACAAGCAGGAAGGACUGUAUGGUGCCCUGCCUUCCAGCUGGCUGGGCCACCCUGCCACACUUCCUCAGCCUUGAUGGACCUAGCUUUCUCACUGAAAUGUAAAAUCACACGGCAGACACUGAGCUCAAAGUGGUACUCUGUGGCUGGGUGUGAGGUCGAAUGCUCACAGUCCCAGGACUCUGCAGAGGUAGGAGAAUGGAAUGGUGAGUUUGAGGCAAACCUGAGCUAUUAGAGGGAGAUUCUGUCUCCAAAAAAAAAAAAAAAACCUGAAGAAAACAAAUUAAUGUGUACAAGUUUGCCUACGUUAAGGAUAGGGAGGCCGAGGAGGCAGUGCAGGUAGUCAAAUGCCUAUUGUGCAAGCAUCAGGACCGAAGGCUGAAUCUCCAGCUAGGUGCACAGCUUUAAUCCCAGCACCCAGGAGGCAGAGGCAGGCGGAUCUAUGAGUUCAAGGCCAGCCUGGUCUACAGAGUGAGUUAUAGGACAGCCAGAGCUACACAGAGAAACCCUGUCUGGAAAAACCAAUCAACCAAUCAAUCAAUCAAUCAAUCAAAAUGUACAUGCUGGUGUAGCUGUAUCCCCAGCCCUCAGGGCAGACAUAGGGUCACAGAUGUCAGCACUGUGGUUAGUGAGAGGCACUAUCCUAAGGAACAAGAUGGGCUGACAAAAUGGUUCAAAGGGUAAAGGUGCUUGCUGCCAAGCCUGACUGUCUGAGUUUGAUCCCCAGGACCAAAAGAACUCAGUCCUGAAAGUUGUCCUCUGACCUCUGCAUAUAACCCUCAAAUAGAUUAGUUAAAAUGCAACAAGAAGGAAGGUUGAGUAGCCCAGGAAAACCCCAGAUGCUGAGCCCUGGUUUCUGCAUGCCCACGGACAAGAAAGUAAGCACACACACAAUGAAAUGCAUAAAUAAUUCUAAAAAGUAACAAAUUUUUUUGUUCUUCACAGGAUGCCUCAAUAAAAAUGAAAAGAUAGGGCUGGUGAGAUGGCUCAGUGGGUAAGAGCACCUGACUGCUCUUCCGAAGGUCCAGAGUUCAAAUC
rnacentral:lncRNA from 1 species